rnacentral:misc_RNA from 1 species
AAGACUAUAGACCUGCGGAGUACCUGCGGAAGGAUCAUUACAGAGUUUACAACUCCCAAACCCACUGUGAACCUUACAGCGUCGUUGCCUCGGCGGACCGCCCCCGGCGCGGCCCCCCUCGGGGGGGCGCCCGGGACCACGGCGCCCGCCGGAGGACCCAAACUCUUGUAUUUGCAGGAUGCAUUGCUCUGAGUGAAAACAAGCAAAUGAAUCAAAACUUUCAACAAUGGAUCUCUAGAU